CCUACGGGUGGCAGCAGUGAGGAAUAUUGGUCAAUGGCCGCAAGGCUGAACCAGCCAAGUCGCGUGAGGGAUGACGGUCCUAUGGAUUGUAAACCUCUUUUGUCAGGGAGCAAAGGGCGCCACGUUUGGCGUUUUGCGAGUACCUGAAGAAAAAGCAUCGGCUAACUCCGUGCCAGCAGCCGCGGUAAUUCGGAGGAUGCGCGCGUUAUCCGGAUUUAUUGGGUUUAAAGGGUUCGCAGGCGGAAUGGCAAGUCAGCGGUAAAAUUUCGGGGCUCAACCCCGUCGUGCCGUUGAAACUGGCGGUCUUGAGUGAGCGAGAAGUAUGCGGAAUGCGUGGUGUAGCGGUGAAAUGCAUAGAUAUCACGCAGAACUCCGAUUGCGAAGGCAGCAUACCGGCGCGCAACUGACGCUCAUGCACGAAAGCGUGGGUAGCGAACAGGAUUAGAUACCCCUGUAGUC
rnacentral:rRNA from 1 species